rnacentral:tRNA from 1 species
GGAGUUGUGACUCAGUCAUAAGGCAUCUGCUCUGCAGGUAGAAAGUCCCAGGUUCAAUUCCUGCCAUCUCCA